UACGAGUGCCCCGAGCGUUAUCCGGAAUCAUUGGGCGUAAAGGGUGUGUAGGUGGUGCUAUUAGUCUUCAGUUAAAUUCUUCGGCUUAACCGGGGGCAUGCUGGGGAAACGGUAGCACUUGAGGAUGCGAGAGGUGAAUGGAACUCAUGGUGUAGGGGUGAAAUCCGUUGAUAUCAUGGGGAACACCGAAAGCGAAGGCAGUUCACUGGCGCAUUCCUGACACUGAAACACUAAAGCGUGGGUAGCGAAAUGGGAUUGAGAUACCCCUGG
rnacentral:rRNA from 1 species